AGCAGAAUAGCUCAGUUGGUAAGAGCACUAGUGGUGAAAUUCACCUAAGAGGUCCUGGGUUCAAAUCCUAGUUCAGCCA